GUGAUUUUUCGUCAUUAUGUGAGGGAAAGAAAUUGUUUGUUUAUACAAUCCUCGAAGAAAUAAAUACAAACAUGUUAAUGAUUUUCAAUAUUUGAGGUAUAUAUUGGUUCGUAUUGUUAGAAGAAUCCUAUGAUUGUUUACAAACGAACAACCUACAAUAUUUGUAAAUUAUUUCAGUAAUUAAGUUUUAUUGGUGAUAAACUUGAGGUAAGCGAAAUAUCGUUAACAAAGUUAACAAUACAAAACAUUUUGAUGUGAUGUGGUUCAAGGUCAAGAAAAUUUUGCUGUUCAUCGCUAGAACGUAAUAUUUGCUAUUAUGAUAUGCAGAAUAUUAGUUCUAAGAACAGCCUGAACAAGGGCCCAGAUGUGAAGAUUUUUUGCUCGAAUGCACAAUGUCAAGUCGUCAACGAGGAAUUAACAAAUUUAUGUCAACAAGUGACAGACCUAAAAGAAACGGUUGCAUCAUUAGAAAAUAUUAUACAAAUAAAAGAUAUACAAUUGCAAAAAAUGCAACGAGAAAAUGAACGAUUGUCGACCGAAUUGAAAAAACAACAAAGACAUAUCAAGAACCUCAAACGUAAGAUUAUAAAAAACUCAUUUAAGUUCAUCGCGAUCUUUAAAUGCAUCGACUUAAUUUUAGAGCAGUUGGAUGAUGAGAGGUUCCUCUAUCAAAAAGAAAAGGAUUCUUUUAACAAUGAAAUACAAAGACAGAAGACACGAUGUGCAAGUGGUGCUUCGAAAUUGCACCAACAACGAAAAGAAUUUGAGGUAGUACGAGAAUGUUUGGAAGAUGAGAAUAAGUCGCUUAGAGAAGAAUUAAAUGAGAAAAUCGAAACAACGUAUAAUUUGUGUAUAAAGUUUUUGCGAAUGAAGUAUGCUAAAGAUUCGUUGAGGCAAAAAUUUGAUCAAUUAUUGAAGGAACACUUGCAAGUAAUAACGGAUAUGAUGGAGAAACUAGAUGAAGCAAGAGAAGAACUUAAUAUAAUUGUAUCCGAAAAGUUUCAAGAGCCUUUGCCUUUAAGUAAAGCAAGAUUUUUACAGGUGGUACAAAGAAAUGCACGAUUAGUUCAUGAAAAUGCGACACUUAAGGUACAAAUACAACAUUUGACUUUAAAUAUUGAGAGAUUAAAGAGUUGUGUGCAAAAACCGAAAUCAAUAAAUGUAGAUGCAAAUAUUAUUGCGAAAUUAGCAGAACAAAGUAAAAAAAGAUGUAGUAAAGAAUCUACAAAAUGGAUACCGAUUCAUUUAUUUGAAAAUGAAAUUGAAAAAACUUUAUCAUUUACUAAACCAUCAGAUCUUCAAAAUUUCGUCAAUUAUUCUGAAGAUGUAAAAUUAAUAUCUAAAAUUCGAUCGAAUAAAUUAAAAGGGUACUCCAAUACUGCUAUACGAGAAGUUCAAACUAAAGAUACAUGGAAAUCGGGAACGGUACGCGCUCGCAGCGCUCCGGAAAUUCGAUUAACGGAAGACCGAGCAAGCUCUUCCGAUAUUAUUUUAGCAGAGUCUUCAAUGGAUGUACGACAUAUCUCAACAAAUACUUGACAAAUAUUAUUAAAUUUAAGACGUUGUAAAAAUGUAAAUGUUACUAUUAUCUUUUUUUAUAUUAUUUAUUUAUUGUUUAAAAGAUAUCGACUGUAGAAUGUAGAAUGUGAUGUAUCGACUGUAGAGUAAGUGGCGCUAAAGUAAAUCAUUUAAAUUUUGUUCACUAGAGGGCGAUUUCGGUAUGAAACGGUUUUGAUAUUUUCAGUGUCACAUCGAAAUGUGUGUGUUAGUUAUGUUCAGUGCACAUAAUUUUUUUAUAAAAAUAAUUUAAACAAUUUUUUGAAGGUGAAAGUGUAGGAACAGAACAAUAAUACGAAGCAUCUGGAUAAGGAUAAAAUAUUUUAAAGAAAUAUUCUUCCGUUUCAGAAAAAAGCGGAAAGUCCAAUGGCUGUGGAGGAACUGUACGGCCCUGAACGAGCCCGAAGAAGGGAAGCAACCGAUCCGGGGCCCGAGCGGUUCUUGCUCGUGAGCGGUCGCCUUACGCCGAGAGUAAGACAGUGGCCACGAAAUAAGAAACCGGUUGGGACCCAAUUUACUUAACAACGGCCGAGAAUCCAACACUUACGGAUGUUGCGCCCGUGCGCUCCCCGCGCCCUGUGUAUAUGCGUUACAUCGUCGGGGGUAAAUUUGUGUAGGUUUGCCACCGCCAUUACCAGCGAGAUUACAACCACUGGUCGCGGCCGAUCGCCGCCUCUAACUGUUAUUACCGCGCUAUUAACAAUGCGGUUGUUGCCCCACUGUCCUAUCCAUUGUCUCCGCCUUCGUGGCGUUUGUUACCAUUCCGAUUUACGGUUGCAAAUCGGGGAAAUUCUGAUAUUAAAACGAGUCGAGACCGACGAAAAUUUUCCUAAUCGAUCCACGCCUUUUUCCUUUUUAUAAAUAUAAUUCUAAGAAAAGACUUGGAAGAAAUUUUUCCCAAUUUUUGAACACCGUAUUACAAUAAAUACGACUCUCUGGGGGAAUUUAUUUAAAAAUUUUUACCGGAUAAUUAAUUCAUCGAGCCCUUUAAACGCGGAACGAGGAGACGCUAUUACCGGAACUUCGCCAUUGAUGUUGAGCCACGAACAGCGGUGGCUGGUAUUGGCAUGCCGGCUAUUAAUAUUGUCACGUUCACAGACGACACACAUUCUCGGCCAUCGCCAGACCACGGCCAUCCCCCUUUCUCGACGGCGCGCCGUGUCAUCACCGAUUUUCACCACCACCACCGGCGUGGCGCGGCCGCGAGGGGCCGUGUACGGUAGCCGGCUACUAAUUUCGACUUCAUCGGCCGAGAUAAGGCCGGAAUUUUUGCCACUGCGAGAACGGAUCCGGACCGGCGCUGCUACACGAGCGGGAGGAGCGGUUAAUUUUCUGAAAUCGGGAACAGACGGGAACAGUGUUGGCAAGUUUCGAUCCUGGUAAUUAGUUACUUCUGCGGAUAUCAUAUAUCGGAUCGUCGUUUAUUUGUCGUUAAGACGAGGUUAUUAUACAAGGAAAUCCCGGAAGAUGGAUGGGGAUCCGCUGAAGCGAGCAUGUGUUUCGAAGCGACAUUUUUUUAUUUGUUUUUGUUACUUAUUUCGAAAGAUCGACGAGAUCCUUUGAACGAGUAGUGAUCGAAGGAUGUAAAAAGUAUGGACGUAAUUAUAAAUUCUUGAUAGCUAGGGACCUGAUUGCCUCGCUCUUCAAUUCAGAUAAACGUUCGUUUUCUAUUUAUUUGUUUGUUUUAUUAUUAUUAUUUUUUUUUAAACUGAUACACUUUGAACGAGCACGAAAAGAAAUAUAAAGCGUAAUAUACGAUUAUAGAUUUUUAAUAAUUAAACAUCCGAUUGCCUUCGUUUUGAAUUCAAAUAAACACGAGGUGAAAAAGUUUUAAAUCCUCGGCAAGCCUUGGUUGCAAAUUCUGUUAAUCGGAUUUGCAGAAACAAAGUUGAAAAGGCGUAAUGAAUAGAUUUAAAAAAAUGGAUAUGAUUUAAAAGAUCCGAUAAGCACGUUGAAAUUAACCAAGUUUAUGACUCGAGGGGUUGUUCGAUCGUUUUAAAAAGAAAAAAAGGAGAAAAAGAUCGAAAAAUCCUUUUCAAGGUAUUCAAGAUAUUAAGAUUUUUUUUUUUUUUUUCGUUCAAAUGUUGAAAUAUUAAUACGUUUCUCAUAAAAAUACAACUAUACGCAUAAUAUAAA